UUUUUUUCUUUCUUUCUUUCUUUCCUUUUUUUAACCUGCUGCUGUUGAGAUGGAGAGGCUGCAAGAAAGAGGCCUGAAGAAGAAAAGCCUGGAGUGCUGGAAGUAAGGC
rnacentral:ribozyme from 1 species